rnacentral:lncRNA from 1 species
AUACGAGGUACUUCUAGGCGCCUGCUCCUGUAAAGCUGCCCUUUUUCUAUGCCAUUUUUCCCCCUACUGGUGGCUAGAAUCUGAGGAAUUCUGUGGUCCAAGAGGUUGGCUGAGCUUUGAGAUGAAAUGGGCCUGGUUCUGUGAAUCAUCACAUAGAGGAAAGCCACCUGCUGAUCAGGACCACCCAUCCUGGACUGAGUUCUAGAAAAGACGUUGCAGGAAACUGAAGAGACUCCCUAUUUACUUCAAUAAUAUUCAUAGGGUGUGCUUGUUCAAAAUUCUGAUCAAGGAACCCCUCUCCAUUUCAUCCACCUUCCAUUCAUAUAGAAGCUUCAUGAAAGCAGGGCCCAGGCAAGAGGGUCUCAACCAGGAGCAAUUUUGCUGUUUCUCUCCAGAGGACACUUGGCAAUGUCUGGGGACAGUUUUGGUUGUCACAACUGGAGACAGGGUGAUGCUAUUUGGCAUCUUGUGGGAGGAAGGCAAGGAUGCUGCUAAGCAUGCCACAAAGCACAGGACAGCUGCCCACAACAAAGGAUGAUUUGCCUGAAAUGUCAAUGUGAAGAGGCUGACAAUCUCUGGUCUAAGGUGUAUCAGUAGUACCUAAAAUAAUGCCUGGGGCCAGGAGCAGUGGCUCACGCCUAUAAUCCCAACACUCUGGGAGGCCGAGGCAGGUGGAUCACCUGAGGUCAGGAGUUCGAGACCAGCCUGACCAACAGGAAGAAACCCCAUCUCUACUAAAAAUACAAAAUUAGCCGGACAUGGUGGCACAUGGCUGUAAUCCCAGCUACUCGGGAGGCUGAGGCUGGGGAAUCACUUGAACCCGGGAGGUGAAGGUUGCAGUGAGCCAAGAUGAUGCCAUUACACUCCAGCCUGGGCAGCAAGAGCGAAACUCCACUUCAAAAAACAAAACA